AUUGAACGCUGGCGGCAGGCCUAACACAUGCAAGUCGAACGAGUGGCGGACGGGUGAGUAAUGUCUGGGAAACUGCCUGAUGGAGGGGGAUAACUACUGGAAACGGUAGCUAAUACCGCAUACCAUCAGAUGUGCCCAGAUGGGAUUAGCUAGUUGGUGGGGUAACGGCUAACCAAGGCGACGAUCCCUAGCUGGUCUGAGAGGAUGACCGGCCAAACUGGGACGUAGACACGGUCCAGACUCCUACGGGAGGCAGCAUUGGGGAAUAUUGCACAAUGGGCGCAAGCCUGAUGCAGCCAUGCCGCGUGUAUGAAGAAGGCCUUCGGUUUGUAAAGUACUGUCAGCGGGGAGGCGGUACCCGCAGAAGAAGCACCGGCUAACUCCGUGCCAGCCGCCGCGGUAAUAC
rnacentral:rRNA from 1 species